rnacentral:rRNA from 1 species
GGGUCAGUAGGUUGGUCGUGCCACCGGUACGUACUGGUCUCACUGAUUCCUCCUUCCUGAAGAACCGUAAUGCCAUUAAUUUGGUGUUGCGGGGAAACAGGACUGUUACUUUGAAAAAAUUAGAGUGUUUAAAGCAAGCUAACGCUUGAAUACAUUAGCAUGGAAUAAUGAAAUAGGACGAUCGAUCCUAUUUUGUUGGUUUCUAGGAUUGACGUAAUGAUUAAUGGGGAUCGUUGGG